AAAUUGUCUGAAUCCUCCUUUGACCACGACUGCCGACACAAGCAAGAAAACAAAGUAAAUACCGGAGACUCUGGAGGAAUAACGGGCGUUUAAAACGGAGGUAGACCGGACAAGAGCUAAAAAGCCGGGUCAACAUAAACGAUGGGGGACGCUUGGGGAUCUUGGUGACCCUGUAACCUUUCUGCUGGACAGGUAAACCGCUUUAACAAAGUAAGACAAGUGUCUGUAACAGAAGUGUUUCUUGUCAAACGGACCUGCUGUAGCGUGUUGUAGCGCCAUCGCUAAACUGUUGACCUCGGGUCCUGGACUAUGUCACUUUAUCCUCGUUGUAGAAGUCCUGCAAACAUUGUGUUUGCUGGUAGUCUGUUGGCAUCUACAGUAGCACCAAUGCUUUUGACUUUCACCUUGACUGGGCCCCAUUUGUAAUGAUCUGAAGUAUUUAUCUGCAUUAUAUCUGAAUUUAAUUGGAACGAUACGAGCGAGCAGGAGCGUCUGUUUGUGGGCGGGGCUUACUGGAGCAGAGAGGGAGGGGAGAGGAGGAGCUGAGGGGAAAACUGGUUGGGAGGGGUAGAGUUUACAUUCAAGAUUUCUCCUAAAAACUGGAACUAACUCAGAUCCUGACUACACCACCUUUAACCAACUCUCAGGUGUUGCUUCAUUGUCUUCAAACACCUGAAUCAGCUCCUACAUGCAUGUUUGCAUGAAGCGAAGUGAUUGGUUUGCAUCAGGAGGAACCUUUUGUCCAAAACACAUCUUACUCAUUUUACAUAUGUGGCAGCUGUUGCUCUGUGGUUAUCUCUACACUCCAGGGUUCAAAUCCAGGUCCUGCUGUCUACAUGCCAAAGUCCAUUAGCAAGAUACCGGACCAGAGACGGAGCUCUACAAACACAGUGCUUCAUAUUACUCUAAAACAAUAACAGCUUCAUACCUGGGUGUUUAAAAGUAUGUGUUUCAGACCCAGAUAUAUAUCUUUCUGUCUGCUCUUGUUUCCCUGUUCCCUCAUUAGCAGCUUGUGUGGUUAAACUCUUGGUUGCCAUGGAUUCAGUAUUAGUUGCUGCAUCAUAAGACUCUCUGACUCCUCCGAGACUCUUCCUCUGCUGGUUUAUAUCCUCAUUUUAAAGCAGAAUCAUCUUCCUUUUACUGUAUUUUGGUUCAUGCAUUGGUUUAUGUACAGUGUUCCCCGCAGCUGUCUUUUUAAUAUCAAUACUAAAACACAGAGACGGCUCUGCUCUCCUCAUACAGCUCUUUUUAUUCCCUUUGUGAGUAAAACUGCAAUAAAACCGAGUGCAGCAGAGAGUGAAAGCACUUCUGUUAGAGAGAAAAAGUUAUUUUGUAGGUGGAAACUAUUGAUUUUACUUUUUUUCUGCUUCCUGCUCCUGUCUCACAGUUUCUGAAUCAUCUCUGUAAUGAUGCUGCAGCUCAACGCCGAGGCUGACGAGUAAUUAAUACAAACAGUGACACGACGGCCUAUCGUCCUGAAUAUGAGACGAUCCCUGCUAUAAUAACUAUCAUAUUUCAAGACUAAUUUAUUGGAAAAGACUCUUGGAAGGCCAAAUCGUGUAUAUAUAUAUAUAUAUAUAUAUAUAUAUAUAUAUAUAUAUAUAUAUAUAUAUAUAUAUUUUAUAAGGAAAGGGAUUUAAAAAAAUUUACAGACACAUUCGAUAAAAUAAUAAAAGUGGGUGUUUUUAUCGUGUUUUUCAUGAUUUUUUUUUUUUAAGCUACUCUGUGGACUUUUUACAACUUAUGAAACUAACUGAAAUGAAGUGGGAUGUCUUUCGAUGGUGUAAAAAAAGUAAAAAAAAAAUUAAUAAAAAAAAUUGUGAUAAAAUUAUCUGUGAAAAUACAAAAGGACGAUUUUUUUUGGAUCAUUUUACAUUAUUUUCACAAGGAUAAGGCAAAAUCAGCAUUACUCUGUCCACAUGGGGGUGCCAAAGUCAUCACACACUGACAAGUUCCUCACAGGAGCUUUAAUUUCUUAAUGUUAUUCUUCUGUUUUUGGUAUUUCUACACUGUGAGAAAACUAUCACUGAGACUCAGGCUGUGUCUCAUUUCAGAGACAGCAUCGGGAUAAGCGCGCUUAAUGGCGCUUAGCUGAGUGCACUGCCGUUUUGUGCCGUUAUGUGCCGUUUUGCGCCAUUUUGUACCCUUCCUGUGUCCCAUUUCAGAGACCGCAACCGUCGAACGGCGCAUCUGAAGCGUGCGUACGCUAUCCUGAGGUCAAACAUUAGACUUGUUGGAUCAGGAUACAGUCCUAUUUACACCUUUUAGGAUGAUUCCUCUCUCCAGAGUGCAGGAGCUGAUUAACUCUGUCAGUAAUGAACGGAUGUAACCUGAGGAGUCACAUUAAAAUGUUUAAAUAGUCACUUUACAACCAUUUAGAAAUGUUGAAACCCAAAUAUUCCUAAUAGAAAAAACAAUUUCAGAGAUUACUUUUCUAUCCCAUAAUAAUCGGCUUAUAUUGAACAUGCACCUGCUGCUGCAAACAGAAUCAUUUAGUGUCCAUUUAGGGAAGAGUAACAGCAGUAAUUCUCAUUUACUCCUAAUCAAGAAAAGAUGUUGUGCUACAGUUAAAUGUUGGAUUUGAAUUAUGGGAUUGGUCUUUUUUUUUCUCACACUGAUAUUUGUACUCGUCUCUUUGUAAAACCACAUGAAGCAGAUCCCUGCUGCUGCCAAACACAGCAGUACCCUUCAGCUAAAAGCACAAGCCGCUGCUCUGCAGACGACCAACACGAGUCUGCGGUCACUCGCUUCAUUCACAAAGUGGUUAAUUAGCCACCAUUAGAGUCAGUUUCUAAUGGAUGCUCAUUUACCAACAGUGUAAUUAUGACCAAAUCCCAUAUAAAACCUGCAAUUAUAACCUGAGCAUGUCUGCAGCAAACAAAUCAGAGCCAUGCAAAAUGAGGAGCGUGUAAAAAAUAGCUGUUGAGAGGAAACGUCAAUAAUGGCUGAUUGAAGAGUUUGUGCCAAAUGAGACCAAAUGCAUAAAAAAAGGACUUAAACUCAUAAUCUCUGUCACACAAAAAAGAAUAGUUUUAAUCUCUCAGCAAGUUGCAAUUGUGAUAAACAUUCACACCAGUCGGUUAGUAAAUGAAAAAAUAAGUUUGGUAACGCUUUCUUUUACGGUACACUUACUACCAGGUAAUUAACUGGUAAUUACCUAGUAACAACAUGAAAUUAUCUGGUAAUUACAUGAUAACUACUAAGUCAAUACUGUCUAGUUUUUCUCUUUUUCUUUUUUCUGUGCAGCUCCAUUUUCAAAAGCUAUUUGGAGUUCUUAUUUUCUAAGAUUGACACUUGAUACAGCCUAUGGGCGUGCAAAGAUUGCGUAAUGAUACGCUGUUUGAGCCGAGCGUUAUCGCAGCGACUCACCCGCCAAAUGCGUACAACGCUACUGCGCAAGAGGUGGAUCCAAGAAGCGGAGAAAAUCCUGGAAAUACCAGAGCAAUUCGGCUUCAGAUUUGUAUGAUGAUGGAAGGUUACCUACCUGGUAGCUAAACAGUAUUGACUUAAUAGUUAUGUAAUUACCAGAUAAUUUCAUGUUGUUACUAGGUAAUUACCUGUUCAUUACCUGGUAAUAAGUGUACCAUAAAAAAAGCAUUACCAAAAGUUUCUCAUCAUCCAUGUGUCAGACAUUUCUACAAAAAACAAAAUCCAGUUUUAAACAUUUCUAAAGUGUUUAAGACAACGUGAGGAAAGUUUGUUUAUUUGCAAAGUGCAGUGAAAAGAUGUAUUCCUAAUCUUGUCUAUCAUCCAAACUCUUCUCUGUUAUUUCCCCCGUUUGUUAUUUCUCAGGCAGAGUCGAUGUAACGCAGACACCUGUUUGUGUUGUUUCUGCACAGCAGUGUGUUCAGCGGGGUUGAGAUCUUCUCAUCAUUAUCUGCAUCAGGAAAACACCCUCUGUUGCACAACGGUGUCAAAGGGCUCCAACAUGCUGUUCUCUGGGAGACCUUAUAUUUUACCCCAUUGUUAUUCUGGUCGUUACAUAACAUUGAUAUAACAUGUGACUUUCUGUAUGUGUGCGAGCAUUCAGACUUUUCUGCAUUUAAGUUUUCCACAUUAAAUUAAAUGCUUUUAAAUCAAUGAAAAUAGUUUUUUUUUUUUUCUGAUAAUCUGAAAAGUUAAAGAACUACACCAUCAUUUAAAGCAGUAAAACCUUCACACACUUGAUUCCCAAUUAAUACCUGAAGGGUCGUCAAGUUUGCCGUUGUUCUGCUUGAGCAAACUGAUCACAGCCAACGGUGUAAAGCUCAAUAAUUAGCUGGAACAGUCACACACGCCAACACACACAUGCAUGCUCACCUAAUAGACAAAUACACACACACACACGUAACCCUCACCUCUUCCCUCGUGAAGACACUCAUAAUUGGACACGAGAAUCGUUUCAGGCACUCAACCGAAGAACCCUUUUGUACAAAUACCACAAGUGCAUGUCUGACCGGGGUGCAGACGUCGCACACCAACCUCAGAAACUACGAGGAAACAGGGUGUAAUUAAAGUGCGGUCAACUUUAUAGAUCUAUUAAAACAUGAGUGACUCUAUGAAACUUUUCUGUAACUCUGGCCUGUUAAUUAAAACUACAAAACACAUAAUACACACAGAGUGAAUGAAAGGUGGGGUAGGCAGGAAUCUGUUAAAGAAGCAUCUUUUUUGUGGUGUAAAUACAAAAAAGCUUUUAAUAUCAGUCAAUAGUUAUUAGUCAUUGAUGACAUUUGAUAAUAUAAUGAUAUCUCUGUGUUCUCUUAUGUCUGUGUAGUCAACAUUUAAAAUUUUUGAGCGGCCCGCUCUUUCUGACUGUAAACAAAGCUGUUCUCCACCUCCUCUAACCUGAUUGGUUGUGAGGCAGACGCUGCUCCCUCAUGUUGUGUGGCAUGCUCCACGUCCUUCGAUGACAUGCACGAGCCCAAACAAAGUUAGCGUGCUACAACAUCGGACAGUAGAAACCAAACAGAAAGUACAAAAAACACAAACAUGAAAACAAAGUAAAUACCGGAGACUCUGGAGGAAUAACGGGCGCUUAAAACGGAGGUAGACCGGACAAGAGCUAAAAAGCCGGGUCAACAUAAACGAUGGGGGACGCUUGGGGAUCUUGGUGACCCUGUAACCUUUCUGCUGGACAGGUAAACCGCUUUAACAAAGUAAGACAAGUGUCUGUAACAGAAGUGUUUCUUGUCAAACGGACCUGCUGUAGCGUGUUGUAGCGCCAUCACUAAACUGUUGACCUCGGGUCCUGGACUAUGUCACUUUAUCCUAGUUGUAGAUGAAGUGACAUCUACAGUAGCACCAAUGCUUUUGACUUUCACCUUGACUGGGCCCCAUUUGUAAUGAUCUGAAGUAUUUAUCUGCAUUAUAUCUGAAUUUAAUUGGAACGAUACGAGCGAGCAGGAGCGUCUGUUUGUGGGCGGGGCUUGAGGGGAGAGGAGGAGCUGAGGGGAAAACUGGUUGGGAGGGGUAGAGUUUACAUUCAAG
rnacentral:lncRNA from 1 species